UACGGAGGAUCCAAGCGUUAUCCGGAUUUAUUGGGUUUAAAGGGUGCGUAGGCGGCCUAUUAAGUCAGGGGUGAAAGACGGUGGCUCAACCAUCGCAGUGCCUUUGAUACUGAAGGGCUUGAAUGAACUAGAGGUAGGCGGAAUGUGACAAGUAGCGGUGAAAUGCAUAGAUAUGUCACAGAACACCUAUUGCGAAGGCAGCUUACUAUGCUUUAAUUGACGCUGAGGCACGAAAGCGUGGGGAUCGAACAGG
rnacentral:rRNA from 1 species